GACGAAACACUGGAACUCUCCAGAAUAAAUUGGUACCUGGGUCUCUUCCGAAGUGAGUUGCUCUUAGGAGCUUCAAAUGAGGGUCUUUGAAGCCACAUGAAAAUUGAUGACUGGUUGUAAUAUCCAAGGUACCAAAUCAGACACACUUGUAAUUGUUCCCAAUAGUUUCUUAGCAGGCAUUUUGGAGGAAAAGAUUUGGAUCAGAAAUUCAGAAAUUACCUGGGCUCACAAAAAUAUGCCCCUCCAGCACCAUCCUGCCUUCUGCUUCCAAGAUACAUGAGCUUUCUGAGGAGCUGGUGAGAAUAUUGAAACUUCCUGGCCUUGGUUUCCCAUCUGGUAAAACGAGGAAGACCAAAGCUUAACCCUCACAAGGAAUAUGUAGAUGAGGAAACUGAAGCUCUUGGGGUAACAUGACUUGUGAAACUGCAUGCUUCUCCUCAGUGGCAGGGCGGGGACUCUGGAUGGAGGAACUGUCAAGACCUUCUAGAUCUCUGACAUGCAUAAACUGGCACGUUUAGAGAAUAACGAGGAAAACAAAGUAAAACAAAAGACGGUACCUGUGUGCUAAGAAUUUAUUACCCCCACAUCAAAAAACGUAUCCACCACGAUCAAGUCGGCUUCAUCCCUGGGAUGCAAGGCUGACUCAGCAUAUGCAAAUCAAUAAAUGUAAUCCAUCACAUAAACAGAACCAGAGACAAAAACCACAUGGUUAUCUCAAUAGAUGCAGAAAAGGCCUUUGAUAAAAUUCAACAUCCCUUCAUGUUAAAAACUCAAUAAACUAGAUAUUGAUGGAACAUAUCUCAAAAUAAAAGAGCUAUUUAUGACAAACCCACAGCCAAUAUCAUAUUGAAUGGGCAAAAGCUGGAAGCAUUCCCUUUGAAUACUAGUACAAGAUAAGGAUGCCUUAUUCUCACCACUCUAUUCAACCUAGUAUUGAAGUUCUGGCCAGGGCAAUCAGGUAAGAGAAAGAAAAAAAAGCAUAUUCUAAUAGGAAGAGAGGAAGUCAAAUUGUCUCUGUUUGCAGACAACAUGAUUGUGUAUUUAGAAAACCCCAUCGUCUCACCCCAAAAACUCCUUAAGCUGUGAGAAACUUCAGCAAAGUCUCAGGGUACGAAAUCAAUGUGCAAAAAUCACAAGCAUUCCUUUACCUCAACAAUAGACAAGCAGGGAGCCAAAUCAUGAAUAAACUCCCAUUCACAAUUGCUAGAAAGAGAGUAAAAUACCUAGGAAUACAGCUAACAAGGGAUGUGAAGGACCUUUUCAAGGAGAACUACAAACUACUGCUCAAGGAAAUAAGAGAGGACACAAACAAAUGGAAAAACAUUCCAUCCUCAUGGAUAGGAAGAAUCAAUAUCAUGAAAAUGGCCAUACUGUCCAAUGUAAUUUAUAGAUUCAAUGCUAUCUCCAUCAAGCUACCAUUGACAUUCUUCACAGAAUUAGAAAAAAACUACUUUAAAUUUCCUAUGGAAUCAAAGAAGACCCUGUAUAGCUAAGAAAAGCCUAAGGAAAAAGAACAAAGUUAGAGGCAUCACACUACCUGACUUCAAAUUAUACUACAGGCUACAGUAACCAAAACAGCAUGGUACUGGUACCAAAACAAACAUAUAGACCAACGGAACAGAACAGAGACCUCAGAAAUAACACCACACAUCUACAACCAUCUGAUCUUUGAUAAACCUGACAAAAACAAGCAAUAGGGAAAGGAUCUCCUAUUCAUUAAAUGUUGCUGGGAAAACUGUCUAGCCAUAUGCAGAAAACUGAAACUGGAUCACCUUUCCUUAUACCUUACACAAAAAUUAACUCAGGAUGAAUUAAAGACUUAAAUGUAAAACCCCAAACCAUAAAAACCCUAGAAGAAAACCUAGGCAAUAGCAUUCAGGACAUAGGCAUGGGCAAAGACUUCAUGAUGAAAACGCCAAAAGCAAUUGCAACAAAAGCCAUAAGUGACAAAUGGGAUCUAAUUAAACUAAAGAGUUUCUGCACAGCAAAACAAGCUAUCAGUAGAGUGAACAGGCAGCCUACAGAAUGGGAGAAAAAUUUUGCGAUCUAUCCAUCCGACAAAGGCCUAAUAUCCAGCAUCUAUAAGGGACUUAAACAAA